rnacentral:rRNA from 1 species
UUUCCUACGCAACGUUCAUCGGCGUAGGGUGAGUCGGCCCCUAAGGCGAGGCAGAAAUGCGUAGUCGAUGGGAAACAGGUUAAUAUUCCUGUACUUGAUUCAAAUGCGAUGUGGGGACGGAGAAGGUUAGGUUAGCAAGCUGUUGGAAUAGCUUGUUUAAGCCGGUAGGUGGAAGACUUAGGCAAAUCCGGGUCUUCUUAACACCGAGAAGUGAUGACGAGUGUCUACGGACAUGAAGUAACCGAUACCACGCUUCCAGGAAAAGCCACUAAGCUUCAGUUUGAAUUGAACCGUACCGCAAACCGACACAGGUGGGCAGGAUGAGAAUUCUAAGGCGCUUGAGAGAACUCGGGAGAAGGAACUCGGCAAAUUGAUACCGUAACUUCGGGAGAAGGUAUGCCCUCUAAGGUUAAGGACUUGCUCCGUAAGCCCUGGAGGGUCGCAGAGAAUAGGUGGCUGCGACUGUUUAUUAAAAACACAGCACUCUGCUAACACGAAAGUGGACGUAUAGGGUGUGACGCCUGCCCGGUGCUGGAAGG